rnacentral:rRNA from 1 species
CCUACGGGUGGCAGCAGUGAGGAAUAUUGGUCAAUGGGCGGAAGGCUGAACCAGCCAAGUAGCGUGCAGGAGGACGGCGCAGAGCGUUGUAGACCUCUUUUGCCCGGGGACAACACGCCGUACGCGUACGGCUUUGCGGGUACCCGGAGAAUAAGCACCGGCUAAUUCCGUGCCAGCAGCCGCGGUAAUACGGAGGAUGCGAGCGUUAUCCGGAUUCAUUGGGUUUAAGGGGUGCGCAGGCGGGCCGUAAAGCGUGCGGUGAAAUGGCGGGGCUCAACCCGGCCUAGCCGGCGGAACUGGGGGCCUUGAGGGCGCCGAAGGCAGGCGGAAUGCGCGGUGUAGCGGUGAAAUGCUUAGAUAUGGCGAAGAACCCCGAUUGCGAAGGCAGCGUGCCGUGGCGGCACUGACGCUGAGGCACGAAAGCGCGGGGAUCGAACAGGAUUAGAUACCCGAGUAGUC